GAUUUAACUCAAUCAUUACACGAAUGGGAACUAAGCAGCAUCGCACAGAGCACAGUCUAUGUUAUAAAACCAGAACAUAUUUCUGGUAAGAGUUAAUUAGUGCAGUAUUACCUAUGUAGGCCUUUGAACAUGCCUUCCGGGUUUUUAUUUAUCGAUCUUUGAAGGAGGACACUAAAACAGGUUUUAGUUGGAAGAAUACUUUUCAACAGCUCCCUGACAGCAUAUUAAGCCUUUAUUUGACUUUGGAAUUGGACAAUGAACAACAUUUGGCACAACCCAGAGUGAGGCUCAGAAUGAGGACAAUCCAGGCGUCAGCCCCUCUGAGGUUGAGAAUUGUGAUGAACGGCAUCCUCACAAACCUCUAACGAAUUCAGAACAACCAUAUGGAGUCAACCAUGCUUGAAAACAGCCCAGUGGUCCCAUUUCAGACUGGGGUGGCUUCUGUGAAUAUACCUCCUCAUCUAGGCUUAAUCGCAAUAGAACCAUCUCCAGACUGUGUCCAGGCAGCUCGACCUCAUAACGAAGGCUCUUCCUCACAGCAUUCACCUCAACACCAGCUAUGUUGAUGAUGGUGUUGCCCAUCAGGUGUUGCCCGUCUUCCCCAUCAUCCCCCGUGUAUUUAUACCUGUGUUCUGUCUGUCUGUUGCCAGUUCGUCUUGUUUGUCAAGCCUGCCAGCGUUUUUCGUCUCAUCUACUGCUUCUCCCCAGUCUCUCUUUUUCUCGCCCUCCUGAUUUUGACCCUUGCCUGUCCCAUCUCCGAGCCCGCCUGCCUGACCACUCUGCCUGCCCCCGACCCUGAGCCUGCCUGCCGUCCUGUACCU